rnacentral:lncRNA from 1 species
CCCCCCUUCUCCACCAUUGUCUUUGGAAGGAAGCCCAUUCUUCCUGGUGUAAAAAGCUAACUUUCUCUAUAUUGAUAAUAUAUUCCUCUAAAUCCAAACCGUUGCCCCUGGACUUGCAUGUUCUUGGAGUUAAUAUUACCUGAAUCAUCUGCCAGGGGAUUUUUGUUCUUUCAGGAGCCCCCAAAGGCCACUUGGAGUGUACUCAACCUGUGAAACAAAAAUUAGGAGGAGAUCUGUGGUUUCCAACCCUGCUUUUAGAAACUGCUCUUUUAGGGGGCUGGAAUGACUCACAAUGACUAUUGUUAAUUUCUCUGUUAAUGGCUGGCUGCUCUCAAUGGGCCUUCCUGGAUAAUGAGCAGGUAGAAAUUACCCUGGAGAUACAAGCUGAUUUCAGGAAUGAAACUGAUUAUAAUGAAGCUUAUUAGACUAAUAAAUCCUCAAGGCCAUUGGAGACCACUGAUUGAUUCCAUGUUAAAGCACUAGUUUAACUAGAGCUAUUGCAUUAUCACCAUAAUAUCCAGGUUCUAGCAAGAUUAGGUUUGAGUAAGAGACUAGGAGCCUGGAAGUCCUCAGCUCUGGCACUGAUUAGUUGUGUGGGCUUUGGCAAGCUACUUAAUCAAUGUGACUCAGCUCUUCCGUACAGAGACCAUUGUAGUCUUUAUAUGUCUCAUGGGGGUAGCAUGAGGCUAAAUUCAUUUGUGGUGGCAGGGUCAUGAGAUGGCUGGCUGGAAGGCAAUGUAAAAGGUAGGAGAACUUGGCUUUCUAAGCAGAGGUGCACAGGCGAUCUACUCUCCAGUUGUGAGGAAGGACAGCAGCUCCACGUGAUCUCUGGGAAUGCCCAGCUCUUUUGGAAACCAGAGCGUGUGCAUCAUCCUUGUGAUCUGACCCAACAGCCCAGCCCCGGGAUCUGAAGAACUGACCACGCUCCAUUUUUACACAUCUAAAUUUGGCAAUGGGAUUAUGUUGCGUGGUUGGAAAGCAGCCUCCAUCCAGUCUCUUCUAAAUGAGGUCGUCUGGAAACCCUCGACUCUUGUCUGCCUCCUCCGCUUCCAUUGUAAGCCCUUUGGAGCAAAGAUUUUCUCAACUCUAGAGACAGCACCCAGUCCAAAGGAGCUGUGAUACCACUAUCAGCAAAGUGCCACAGAUACCCCAGCCAGGACAAAGGACCCCUUUAUUCUAAGGACCCUGAAGAGCUUUCAUUGUAAAUGGACACGGACAUGGCAACAACAGGUGAGAAGAAGGGAGUUUUACAAUCUGUAGUUUAUGGUUGAGGGACUGAAGUGCAGUUUUACAGGGGGUUAAGGCAGAGCCCUAGGCUGAACUCAAAUCUCCUGUUUCCAAGUCCACUGCCUUAGCUACAAGGCUUGACUUCUUGCAUGUAUGCUUAUUUCCUGCUCUUUCUUUGUAACAUUUCCCAUUUACAGUGACGUAUUCAGGCCUUUCUUCUG